AUACUUUGGCAGCACACAUACAAAAACUGGAGACAGAAAUACAGAGAAGAUCAGCAUAGCCCCUACACAAAGAUGAUAUGAAAAUUUGUGAAGUGCUCCUUGUUUUU